GAUGAACGCUGGCGGCGUGCUUAACACAUGCAAGUCGAACGAUGAAGCCCAGCUUGCUGGGUGGAUUAGUGGCGAACGGGUGAGUAACACGUGAGUAACCUGCCCUUGACUCUAGGAUAAGCCCGGGAAACUGGGUCUAAUACUGGAUAGGAACGUCUACCGCAUGGUGGGUGUUGGAAAGAAUUUCGGUCAUGGAUGGACUCGCGGCCUAUCAGCUUGUUGGUGAGGUAAUGGCUCACCAAGGCGACGACGGGUAGCCGGCCUGAGAGGGUGACCGGCCACACUGGGACUGAGACACGGCCCAGACUCCUACGGGAGGCAGCAGUGGGGAAUAUUGCACAAUGGGCGAAAGCCUGAUGCAGCGACGCCGCGUGAGGGAUGACGGCCUUCGGGUUGUAAACCACUUUCAGUAGGGAAGAAGCGAAAGUGACGGUACCUGCAGAAGAAGCACCGGCUAACUACGUG
rnacentral:rRNA from 1 species